rnacentral:ncRNA from 1 species
GGUUAUUCCGUUAACGAACGAGACCUUAACCUGCUAAAUAGUUGCGCGAAACUUUAUGUUUCGUCGCUACUUCUUAGAGGGACUUUGUGUGUUUAACACAAGGAAGCUUGAGGCAAUAACAGGUCUGUGAUGCCCUUAGAUGUUCUGGGCUGCACGCGCGCUACACUGACACGAUCAACAAGUAUUUCCUUGCCCGGUAGGGUUAGGGUAAUCUUUUGAAAUCGUGUCGUGCUAGGGAUAGACGAUUGCAAUUAUUCGUCUUCAACGAGGAAUUCCUAGUAAAUGCAAGUCAUCAGCUUGCGUUGAUUACGUCCCUGCCCUUUGUACACACCGCCCGUCGCUCCUACCGAUUGAGUGAUCCGGUGAGCUGUCCGGACUGCGAUUAGUUCAGUUUCUGUUCUCUUCGCGGGAAGUUCUGCAAACCUUAUCACUUAGAGGAAGGAGAAGUCGUAACAAGGUUUCCGUAGGUGAACCUGCGGAAGGAUCAUUC